AGAGUUUGAUCCUGGCUCAGAUUGAACGCUGGCGGCAUGCCUUACACAUGCAAGUCGAACGGCAGCACGGGAGCAAUCCUGGUGGCGAGUGGCGAACGGGUGAGUAAUAUAUCGGAACGUGCCCAGUCGUGGGGGAUAACGCAGCGAAAGCUGUGCUAAUACCGCAUACGAUCUAUGGAUGAAAGCGGGGGACUCGCAAGAGCCUCGCGCGAUUGGAGCGGCCGAUAUCAGAUUAGCUAGUUGGCGGGGUAAAAGCCCACCAAGGCGACGAUCUGUAGCUGGUCUGAGAGGACGACCAGCCACACUGGAACUGAGACACGGUCCAGACUCCUACGGGAGGCAGCAGUGGGGAAUUUUGGACAAUGGGCGAAAGCCUGAUCCAGCAAUGCCGCGUGCAGGAUGAAGGCCUUCGGGUUGUAAACUGCUUUUGUACGGAACGAAACGGUCUGUCCUAAUACGAUGGGCUAAUGACGGUACCGUAAGAAUAAGCACCGGCUAACUACGUGCCAGCAGCCGCGGUAAUACGUAGGGUGCGAGCGUUAAUCGGAAUUACUGGGCGUAAAGCGUGCGCAGGCGGUUAUGCAAGACAGAUGUGAAAUCCCCGGGCUCAACCUGGGACCUGCAUUUGUGACUGCAUAG
rnacentral:rRNA from 1 species